UUUCAUGUUUUCUAUGUAUCGAUUUAUUGCACAGAAACAACAUGCAGCAACUUGGCUUUGGUUUUAAUGUGUCUGCUCUUUCUAUUUUGGACAUUCUGAUUCGGUUACUUUGCAGGUUCUUGCUUACACUGGGAAUGAAGACGCUAAGAAGUUUUUCUUCAGUGGUGAAAUAUCACUGGACAACAUUAAGCUAAUUUCUGAAAACAUUCUUGCAAAUUCAGUACCAGAUUAGAAGUAAAAUGGUCGAAUCAUCUUGAUAGCUACGCACUUAAUUGGUACCAGGAGAGGUUUGGGGAGUAGGGGGUGUCUAGAUGAAGACUCAUAUCUGACCAUUAUGGUUGGAUGAUAAAUGCAUAAUAAAUGUCGUACACCAUAGGCUGUUGUGAAGGCUACAUCGGAUCGUGUCUUGCUUCCCCAUAGUGUUCUAGAAGGGUGAUGAGGUGAAGGAAAGAUCUAGGACGAUAGGUAUUAGGUUGGGAAGGAGGGACGAGGCUUGUGUAGGUGACAGUAGUGACAAUAAUGUAAUGAGACUGUCUAUAAUUUGUAGCUUCAUAUUUUCUUGAACAGAAGACAUGUGCAGAGCCUUGAUAUAUUGUUUCAUGUUGACGAUUAUUAAUAAACAUGGAAGUACUGGCUUCUACUCGAGUUAGAUGUGGAUCAACAUGUGAAACUGGAGGUUGGCUUGUGAGGAUUGACCACUGAUGUCAUUAUGUGGUGCAAAAGGGUCAGAACUGAUAGAAGCUAGGGCCAUAAAGAACUAUGGAUAUGGGGCAAUUCUAUGAAAUUUGAUGGUCCUUAAGGGCUUGGGAAAAUGAAAAAUCAUGCAACAUGUUAUUGUGGCAGGUUGAUGUAUGUCGCAGUUUUCCAACUACUUUGCAUAACAUCCAUGCACUAGUUCUUUCUGGCAAGUUGCUGGAGAUGAUGGCAAUGUUGGUUGAGUACUUGGAUGUCUCCAAGAACUUAAUAAGUCGAAAAGUGAACCAGUUCCUCCCACAGGAAUCAUUCCACUUGGGAUAGGAAAUGACCUCGCUAGAUCAUUUGGAUGGCUGUAAAGCGAUAUCUCAAGAAGGCCGUUUCUGCUUCGGCCGUCCAUCUUGAUAGGUACUCAACCUAUUGAUGCACAUGGACGUGAUGACUCUCUAGCGUUUAUGGAUCAACCAACCUGUAAUCAUGGACCUUAUUGUCUUGUAGACCAUGUGGUGUUUCGAGUGUUUUGGAGCUUGCACUUUGUGCAUGUAGAUACAAACUUAUGUUUUAUGGACCAUCUGAAGUCUCUCAUAGUAACCAAUAGUCCUUAUCUUUUUGUGACUUGUGUGUUCUAGAUGAUUGUUAAGAUGGUCAAAACUAUGCUUCCUCUAGGUUAA